rnacentral:rRNA from 2 species
CUGACCUCAAAUCAGGUAGGACUACCCGCUGAACUUAAGCAUAUCAAUAAGCCGGAGGAA